UACGUAGGGGGCAAGCGUUGUCCGGAUUUAUUGGGCGUAAAGAGCGUGUAGGCGGCCAGAUAGGUCCGUUGUGAAAACUCGAGGCUCAACCUCGAGACGCCGAUGGAAACCAUCUGGCUAGAGUCCGGAAGAGGAGAGUGGAAUUCCUGGUGUAGCGGUGAAAUGCGCAGAUAUCAGGAAGAACACCCGUGGCUAAGGCGACUCUCUAGUACGGUACUGACGCUGAGACGCGAAAGCGUGGGGAGCGAACAGG
rnacentral:rRNA from 1 species